rnacentral:rRNA from 1 species
AUAACGGUCCUAAGGUAGCGAAAUUCCUUGUCGGGUAAGUUCCGACCCGCACGAAAGGCGUAAUGAUUUGGGCACUGUCUCAACGAGAGACUCGGUGAAAUUUUAGUACCUGUGAAGAUGCAGGUUACCCGCGACAGGACGGAAAGACCCCAUGGAGCUUUACUGUAGCUUGAUAUUGAAUUUUGAUGCAGUAUGUACAGGAUAGGUAGGAGCCUAGGAAUCAUGCACGCCAGUGUAUGAGGAGGCGUUGUUGGGAUACUACCCUUGCUGUAUUGAAAUUCUAACCCUCGGCAUAGAAAACCGGGAGACAGUGUCAGGUGGGCAGUUUGACUGGGGCGGUCGCCUCCUAAAGAGUAACGGAGGCGUUCAAAGGUUCCCUCAGAAUGGUUGGAAAUCAUUUGCAGAGUGUAAAGGCACAAGGGAGCUUGACUGUGAGACCUACAAGUCGAGCAGGUGCGAAAGCAGGACUUAGUGAUCCGGUGGUUCCGCAUGGAAGGGCCAUCGCUCAACGGAUAAAAGCUACCCUGGGGAUAACAGGCUUAUCUCCCCCAAGAGUUCACAUCGACGGGGAGGUUUGGCACCUCGAUGUCGGCUCAUCGCAUCCUGGGGCUGUAGUCGGUCCCAAGGGUUGGGCUGUUCGCCCAUUAAAGCGGUACGCGAGCUGGGUUCAGAACGUCGUGAGACAGUUCGGUCCCUAUCCGUCGUGGGCGUAGGAAAUUUGAGAGGAGCUGUCCUUAGUACGAGAGGACCGGGAUGGACAUAUCAAUGGUGUACCAGUUGUCACGCCAGUGGCAUAGCUGGGUAGCUAAAUAUGGAAGGGAUAAGAGCUGAAAGCAUCUAAGCAUGAAGCCCCCCUCGAGAUGAGAUUUCCCACGGAUAUUAAGACCCCUUGAAGACGACAAGGAGAAUAGGUUAGGAGUGUAAGUGUGGUAACACAUUCAGCUGACUAAUACUAAUAGGUCGAGGACUUAAUCAA